rfam:Myotis brandtii contig201524, whole genome shotgun sequence.
GGCAAUUCUCAGGUGACAAACCCCAGAAUCGGGCUCCUUUCUCUCUGGUUCUGGAUGUGUCACCCAAAAACCACC